AUUAGUAAAGUUGGCUGAAAGACCAAUUUAGGUCUUUCAGCCUUUUAGUAGAUAGCUCCCUGAUACCGUGGGAAUUAGGGAGUUAUCUACUAAGCGGCUGCAAGAUGCAGCCACAGCAAUGAAUAGGAUCAGAGUUUCAUUCAUUAGAAUGAAAUUCCGAUCCGAAUAAAGUGCCGAAUUGCGUUCUAAAAGAAACGAACAGACUGUUCUCAUUCAGUUAGAACGCAAUUCGGCAGUUUUGUGUAAAGUGACAGGAAGCAUUGUGGGAACACUGAGGAAAGCUAGGGAUCAUGGGAAAAUUGCUC
rnacentral:lncRNA from 1 species